GAUUAGUGGAACGGUCUGGAAAGUCCGGCGAUACAGGGUGAUAGCCCCGUACACGAAAAUCUGAGCUGACGUAUUAAGUAGGUCGGGACACGUGAUAUCUUGACUGAAGAUAGGGGGACCAUCCUCUAAGGCUAAAUACUCCCAAUUGACCGAUAGUGAACCAGUACCGUGAGGGAAAGGCGAAAAGAACCCCGGAGAGGGGAGUGAAAUAG
rnacentral:rRNA from 1 species